rnacentral:sRNA from 1 species
CGAUGCGAGUGCAUGAGAAGAUGACCUACUCCUCGAAAGUGUCGGCUAAGCAUACCAGCCUGCGGCGGCAGCUGCAGCUGGAGGACAAGCAGGAGGACCUGGAGGCGCGCGCCGAGGCCGAUCAUCAGCGCGCCUUCAGCGACUGCACGACCUGGAAGCUCACUUUGACCAAAGUUGCCGGAGCUGAAAGUAGGUGAGUACAAUACAGCAAGAUAUUUUGAGAAAGAGACCAUUUGCCCAUCUUUUAUUACGGUAUAUUGUUAUAA